UUAUCCGCGGACUUCAGAGAUUAGAGUUUGAUCAUGGCUCAGGGUGAAUGCUAGCGGUGCGCCUAACACAUGCAAGUCGAGCGAGAGUAGUAGCAAUGCUACAAAAGCGGCAGACGGGUGAGGAACACGUUGGUACCUCCCCUUUAGUCAGGGAUGGCCAGCCGAAAGGCUGAUUAAUACCGGAUAGUCUCUUCGGAGUAAAGAUUUAUCGCUAAAGGAAGGGCCUGCGUUCUAUCAGCUAGUUGGUGAGGUAAUAGCUCACCAAGGCUAUGACGGAUAGCUGAUCUGAGAGGAUGAUCAGCCACAAUGGAACUGAGACACGGUCCAUACUCCUACGGGAGGCAGCAGUGAGGAAUCUUCCACAAUGGACGAAAGUCUGAUGGAGCGACACCGCGUGGAGGAUGAAGGGGGAAACUUUGUAAACUUCUUUUCUGAGGGAGCAUAAUGAGAGUACUUCAGGAAUAAGGGACGGCAAAUCUCGUGCCAGCAGCCGCGGUAAUACGAGAGUCCCAAGCAUUGCCCGGAAUCACUGGGUGUAAAGCGUAUGUAGGUGGUUUGGUAAGUAGGGUAUGAAAGACCGAAGCUUAACUUCGUGUUUGUGCUCUAAACUGCCAUUCUUGAAUUAGGAAGAGGUAAGCGGAAUUCUAAGUGUAGGGGUGCAAUCCGUAGAUACUUAGAAGAACACCAAAAGCGAAGGCAGCUUACUGGGACUAUAUUGACACUGAGAUACGAAAGCGUGGGGAGCGAAAAGGAUUAGAUACCCUUGUAGUCCACGCCCUAAACGAUGAUAAUUAAGUGUUGCGCUUGUCGCAGUGCUGUAGCUAACGCGUUAAAUUAUCCACCUGAGAAGUACGGUCGCAAGAUUAAAACUCAAAGGAAUAGACGGGGACCCACACAAGCAGUGGAUCAUGUUGUUUAAUUCGACAAUAAACGGGGAACCUUACCCAGACUUGACAUCCUAGGAAUCCACUGGAAACAGAGGAGUGCUCGCAAGAGAGCCUAGAGACAGGUGCUGCAUGGGG
rnacentral:rRNA from 1 species